CUGGCUUCCAUUAUAUAACAGCACUGGCUCCAUCUUAUGACAACCAGUAGCCAUCUUGCGUGCUAAUUUAUAGUUGUUUUUAGUUCUUAGAUAAGUUUCUGCUUUUCCACGCCCUACUGUUUCCCCCAUAGUCAUGCUCUCUUUAGUACUAAGAUAAGUUUCUCUUGCUGCUCACCCUGCCCAUAUCUCCAAAGCCACACACUCUUCCCUAUCAAUUGAGACCUCCUGCUGUUGCCUAGCUACCUGUUGACAUCAAGAGCCUUAACCCGUCACUCCCUCAUAUCCUAUAUAUGUGUGACAUUGCUUUUCAAUAAAUGAGACUUGAUCAGAGUCCUGUCUUGUCUCUGUUCCUUGUGUCUCUUGUCCUUUUUUCAUCCCCACUCCUCUUCUGGGGUUCGCUUUGAGUUACCUGUGUGUCGCGAAGCAGCACCCAGCCUGGGACAAGUCGCACCCAACGUGGGGCUUUAGAAUGGAGGAUCCAGUGAGGGAUGCUGUUCGGAAGGCCGGCACAAAGACAGGAUGGAGAAAAACUUGAAAACAGAGGAAAAGACUACACAGGAGCCGGCUGCAUUUUCUAAACUUCGGUAAUGAAACCAAGAACCUGGAUCUUGUCGCUGGGAAUCUUGGCAACCCUGCCACUAAUGGUAAGGAGCAGUUUUGGAAAGCCAGUAAUAUCAGACAGCUACAUAAGCAAAUUUUUGGUGCCCCAUGUGAUUGCAAGGAAGGUAUUGUCAAAAUCAAACCCACCAGUUAUACCAGGUCUCCAGACUGUGGCAAUAAAAUAGCAUUCCUCA